UACGUAGGGGGCAAGCGUUGUCCGGAUUUAUUGGGCGUAAAGAGCGUGUAGGCGGCCAGAUAGGUCUGCUGUGAAAACUCGAGGCUCAACCUCGAGAUGUCGGCGGAAACCAUUUUGGCUAGAGUCCGGAAGAGGAAAGUGGAAUUCCUGGUGUAGCGGUGAAAUGCGCAGAUAUCAGGAAGAACACCCGUGGCGAAGGCGGCUUUCUGGGACGGUACUGACGCUGAGACGCGAAAGCGUGGGGAGCGAACAGG
rnacentral:rRNA from 1 species